rnacentral:misc_RNA from 1 species
UCGCCUUUCGCCUUGAUAACACUUAAUAUAUGAAAAAACAAAAUUAGUGGGGACAAUUGACCCCACUACAAAAGUUGUGGCACCUCCACUGGUAAUGGGUGAAACAUGUUAGAUGACUCCAUUUGCAACAAAGGCCAUAAGCAAAUGUAUUUACACCAUGCAAUAUUGCAAUAAAAGUAAAAAUUACCUCAAGUACUCCUCCAGUGGAAUAUUUUAAGACUCGAAGAAAUGCUUUAGUCUGAUUACCCUUUGAUUUUGCUGUAAAAAAACAAAUUUUUUCAUUGAAACCACCAGAGAGCAACCAGAUAUUUUGUCAAUUGAAAAAGAGGAUGAUCAAUAAUGUAGCAUCUUAUCAACUUCUUAGUGUAACACUAGGCUGCUAUAGGGCACCCAGAUGUGAAAUUUCCAAGCAACAGCACAGUACAGUAAACUAAAGUAUGAUUUAGAGGAACCAAACUUUAAUCCGGUCAAGUGUCUGAUUCUAUAAUGACAGCACAAUUAAGAUUUUAAAAAUAUCAAGUUUCAAAAUGAAAUUUACGACAAAGAAUAUCAAAUCUCCCACGUACAAUGCUAAAAACUCUUUCCCCUACUGCUCCAACAGCUUUCCAUUAGCAAUUCCAA